rnacentral:lncRNA from 1 species
CUCAGUGGAGAAAAUGAACAUCACAUGGUGGAGAACGGUCCAUCACAACUCUGGUCUGCGGACGCCUCCCUUGCCCUGACACCCACAUGCCGGUCGGAAGGCGCCGGGUAGGGGAGCCCACCUGCUCUCUCUGAACACUCAUGGAUUAGAAUGCCAUUGAGGAAACUCAGGACCCCUGAAGAAUAAAGACAAGAGUUGACAGUCUCUUUUGAGGAUGGCCCUGCUGAUCUUACAAGCACCAUGAGCUCCCAUCGCACUGGCCAAAGAGAAGAACACAGUUCCACAAAGAAACUAAAAGGGAGUGUCUUCCAUAACCCAAGGAUAGGAGGGAGAAGGGCGAAUGCACCCACAUUUGGCAAAACCAGACUUCAAUAGAAGAAACCCAACUCACCUGAGAGUCAGACAAAUAAAAGAGAAAAAAAUAUGCAGCUUGGUCACAGUAGACUGAACCAAUGAUUAAAUGUGUUCUAACUCAGAAAUUCUCCUUGAUUAACAUGCAAGGUCUUUUGGAUUUUGUCUUGCUUUACAUUUGUGACUGUCACAGGAAAACAGCAUCUUGAAGAUGGCACUUGCAAAGUGGCAGGACACGCAGAGAUGCUGAGUAAGUGCCUUUGUUUCUUUUGAAGGGGUCUGCUUGAAUGGAGGGUGUUGUGGUUGUCUGUCCUCAUGUAGAAAGCCUUUGGUGAGCAGCAUCAUUCCCCACCGAGGAGCAUUGGAGAGUCAUCACAGAGAUGUGUCUGCGAGGCGAUUUCAGUGAAACAUGGGGCCAGGCCUCAAAGGAGUUCCAUUAGAGGAUUUGUAAUUAACAUGUGGCAGAAGGUUCCAAAAAUGGAAUUUCAUGCAUAAUUGCAGUGUUUAUUACUGUUGAUAAUCACCCUUACACAACAUUAAAUGUAACAUGCAGAUAAUUUGGAGACCGAAAGGGUUAAUAAAAUUACUCUUGGAAUGUAGCAGCGGGGUCUGUAGGUAAAAAUAACAGCGAUGUUAUAAUAAGUGGGAAUGUGUGUUCUUGUCCCAAAAGGUUUUUACACAUACUUAUUUUUAAGCAUUUGAUAGUUACAG